rnacentral:rRNA from 1 species
GUCCACGCUGUAAACUAUGGAUGCUAGCCGUUGGGUAGCUUGCUCUUCAGUGGCGCAGCUAACGUCUUAAGCAUCCCGCCUGGGGAGUACGGUCGCAAGAUUAAAACUCAAAGGAAUUGACGGGGCCCGCACAAGCGGUGGAGCAUGUGGUUUAAUUCGAGGCAACGCGAAGAACCUUACCCAGCUCUUGACAUGCCGUGCUACGUGGAGAGAUUCACGGUUCCCUUCGGGACGCGGACACAGGUGCUGCAUGGCUGUCGU